GGACAUUUACCGUCCAAGUCAUUGUUAAAAACGGAUAUCCUCACUCCGUAGAAUAAUUUAAAAGGGAGAGAUCGUCUCCCACGAGUCCUACAUUUUCACAAGAUACAGCUCGUGAAGUUCCAGUUUGCUUGUUCGUUUGUGUACAAGGCGUAUUUCAACAACGUGCUUCGAAUUUAAAUGAACUAUAAAAUAUUGCUUUUGGGUUUGUUCCUUUUUCUUGGAACAACUUCAGUGUCCGCCAAGCCAAGACAAAGGAGAGCAGACGAGGUAUUAAAUCGGCUGCAGCUUCUCUCAGAUGAGGAAUUGCAGGCGAAAGAAAUCAGUUCCCAUAUAGAAAAUGAAGCACAAAGUACUAAAAGAGAGCCUCGACCGAGAUGUAGCGUUGGUCAUUUUUAUGGAAAAAAAUGUAACUCUGGAAGAAGAUAAUUUAAAAAUUUGAA